UACAGAGGGGGCAAGCGUUGUUCGGAAUUACUGGGCGUAAAGGGCGCGUAGGCGGCCUGUUAAGUCGAACGUGAAAUCCCCGGGCUCAACCCGGGAACUGCGUCCGAUACUGGCAGGCUUGAAUCCGGGAGAGGGAUGCGGAAUUCCACGUGUAGCGGUGAAAUGCGUAGAGAUGUGGAGGAACACCAGUGGCGAAGGCGACUUUCUGGCUUAUAACUGACGCUGAGGCGCGAAAGCGUGGGGAGCAAACAGG
rnacentral:rRNA from 1 species